rnacentral:lncRNA from 1 species
GAGAGAACCUUUCCUUAAUGACCAAGCUAAAAAGAUUGAAGCAAUCCCAUUAUGGAACGUUUUACAGUCUGAUAUCCGGGUAUGAAGAGGUGACAGAUCGGGAGAAUAUACAAUGAAAAAUGGUUACAAAAGAUGUAUCAUAAAGGAACUUAACUUGCUGGGUAAUGAAUUUACAACAAAUCGAAACCCACCUGGAAAUUACUUUACAAAAUUUUGGAGCUUAAAAAUACCCAACAAAGUUAGAAUCAAUAAAUAGAGAAUUACAAACAAUUAUUUGCCUACAUUUAGUAAUUUAAAAUUUUGAAAAUUGAGAUAUGAUGCCUUAUUCCCAUUUUACGGAGAAGACGAAGAGACUGUUAACCAUGUAUUCCAUGACUGUAGCGUUGCAAAAUAAGUUUUCCAGCAAAUGCAAGAAACAUUGGUGGCCUUCCAUGAAAUUCAAAAGUGGAAACAAUGGUUACCAGAGACAUUCAAUCUCAAUAAUACACACAAAGGUUCAUGCUUAGCAGUAUCGUUAUGGGCAAUUUGGCAUAACAAGAAUAUUUACUUUCAUGAAGGAAUUCGACAAACAAUAUACCAGAUCUUGACUUUUUUCAAAACUUAUUUUUCAGAACUGGACUAUCUUGAUGAACCAUUGAAAAGUAAAAAAGAUCACAAUGAUUACCCAGUGGGAACCUUCUUUUGAGGAUCAAGUUAAAGUUAAUUAUGAUGUUACGUUCCAUCAUCAUAACAAUACAGCGACCUUGGGAGUUAUUAUCAGAAAUAAUAUGGGAUUUGUAUUGGGUUUGUGUUCUUACCCGAUCAAUAAUGCUCAAGAUUCGACAACAGUUGAAGUGCUUGCAUGUCUCUAAUGGAGCGGCAAUGUCAUCAUCGAAUGGGACUUAAAGAAUGUUAUAAAAAAAAGCAAAAACAAGAAAACGAUCUAUCAAUCAUUAGGGGUAUCAUAAAAGAAAUAUUAACCAAAUCAAGGAAUUUUGAAAAGAUUUAGUUCCAGUUCAUACCAAAAAAAGCCAAUGGAGCGGCGCAUGCGCAAGCUGCUUGGGGGAAGAGGAAGAGCUGCACCUGUUUUUGGGUUGAAGAAACACCAUUAGAGAAUGAGAAUAAAGGAAAACUUAUUAAAAAAAUGUUUAUUGUGUGAGAAGGCUGAGUUUGGAGAAGGGAAAGAGACACCAGAAAUCCGAGGAACUCAAAAAUGGAUGGAUUGAAGAAGUAAAGAUAUUAUGCAUGUAGCGGCCCAAUUUUGUCAGGCCCAGACAAAACAAAACAAAAACUAAAAACAAAUAAAAGUCUAGUCCAUUUACAAGCCCAAAGUCGACUAUCCUAAACCUAAAUUGAAAUAAGAAACCCCCCAUCCGUUUAGCCACCGCCUCUACCUAGUCAGCAGGCACAACCCCCAAAAUUAUCUGUGCCCCUAGGAUUGCCCUUUACCAAUUUCACCGAAAUGGCAAAGGGUGUAUCUCCCCAUCGCUUCUGACCGAAAGCUUCUACACCGCCACAAUGCAAAAACCUAAAACAGAAACAGGAAUAGAAGCAGAAAAUCAAAAAAGAAAAGAAAAGAAAAGAUAUUGUGUAAUAUAUUUGGCUAUAAAUGUCGAAUCUUAUGUUGUAAUUUGG